GAAGAAGAAGAAGAAGAAGAAGAAGAAGAAGAAGAAGAAGAAGAGGCGACUCGCUUGCUCGAGAAGGUUAACUGUUUUUCCAAGUGCCUACUUGAUUAGACCGUUGGCGCGGAGUCUGCAGGUUGGUUGUCCUACAAAAGAAAAUACUUCAAGAGAAUCAAACUGUGAAGAUCACCUUUUAGAAGCUGGGUGAAUCAGACUUCAUGUCUGGAGUUGUUGCCAUGGUUGCAGAAAUUGGAGGAGCGUCCUUAGAUGACGCAAUACGACGAGCUAUGGGAUUCCUCAUGUCCCAUGAAUUGGCAUUGCAGUUCAACCUUUUUGGCCGACAUGGGAAACACAAGUUCCGGGACCUGCGUCUCUUUGAUGUUGUCCAUGGAGCACUUAAAAGAAAUGGAUCCAUCCACGGAAUCACCCACAAAGAUACCGAAAAGGCACUAUCAAAGUGGUUUACUGGAGCCCGUGACAGAGGUGGAAAUCGAAAGGUUCGAGCGACUAAGGAGGCUGCCAGUUCACAUUCAGGUGGGCAGGACUUCCAAGAUGGACAGUUUUAAGAGAGCUUUCAAGUUUAAGCAUGCAUGUGGCAUGUAAGUUAUUGAACAAUGUGUUAUACAAAAGUAUUGUUCAGUGUGUGUGCGCGUGCGUGCUAGUAAACAAGUUUUUUGUUUUUGUUUACCAGCGCAAUUCUUGUUGUGGCACCAUUUGCUCUGUGUUAACAAAGUUCUAAUAAUUGCUGUGGUAAAAAAUAACUUCUAACAAUAUUUGAAAUUACAAAAUAAAAAGCCUUAACCAAAAGAAA